UGGCCAGACUCCUACGGGAGGCAGCAGUGGGGAAUAUUGCACAAUGGGGGAAACCCUGAUGCAGCAACGCCGCGUGAGUGAAGAAGUCAUUCGUGAUGUAAAGCUCUAUCAGCAGGGAAGAAAAUGACGGUACCUGACUAAGAAGCCCCGGCUAACUACGUGCCAGCAGCCGCGGUAAUACGGAGGAUGCGAGCGUUAUCCGGAUUUAUUGGGUUUAAAGGGUGCGCAGGCGGAGGUGCAAGUCAGCGGUCAAAUUGCGGGGCUCAACCCCGUACUGCCGUUGAAACUGCAUCCCUUGAGUGCGCGAGAAGUAUGCGGAAUGCGUGGUGUAGCGGUGAAAUGCAUAGAUAUCACGCAGAACUCCGAUUGCGAAGGCAGAAUACCGGCGCUCAACUGACGCUCAUGCACGAAAGCGUGGGUAUCGAACAGGAUUAGAUACCCCGGUA
rnacentral:rRNA from 1 species